rnacentral:tRNA from 36 species
GCGGGAAUAGCUCAGUGGUAGAGCAUCGCCUUGCCAAGGCGAGGGUCGCGGGUUCAAAUCCCGUUUCCCGCUCCA